CCUAACAUUAAAAUUUUGCAAAAACGUCCGUUUUUUUGUUGUGGUGUUAUCAGUUAGGGCACCCAUCCUGCUCUGUUAAGUAGGUCUUCCCUUGCAGAGUGUAUUCUUCCUCACCCUAAAACUUGGGCUCUUUACUUUGCUGAGUAACCUCAAAUUGUGGUCCACUUGAGGCCUUCUAUUUAUUCCUUUGAAAUACAGCUGAAGGAUAGGUAUGCCUGUGCAACAAUCGAACACAAAUUAUUCACCAAAUAAACAUGAAGAAAAAAAAGUUGUGAAGAAUUUGAUGUGUCAACUUGGGCCACUUGGCACAAAGCACUUACCAUGGCUCUGUAUCAUCCAAUGAGAGACAGCAAAUGCUCAUUGCAACUGGUAUUGUGACCCUGCUUAGACAAUGUUGAUAUUGUGCACUUUUUGUGAGGUGGGGAGCACUAAGAAUUUUCUGUUCGAAGAAUUCACUUUACUUCACUUGGUCAAACUUAUCAGCCGUCAAGCUUGAGAAUGGAGCUCAAGGUGAAUGAACAGUAUCAGAAUUCGUGUACCAAAUGCCUUCCGUUGCCUCUCCACGCAUCACACUGUGGACCUCAACUAUUUAAUUCAAUCAAAUUGUUUUACUCAACCUAAAGUAGGAUUCCAACUUCCAGCACAAUAGUUGAAUUUCUCAAUAACAGUGGAGAUGUGUUCAAAACAAAAAUAUGAUUAUGUAUGUCAAAAUAGCUUACAAUGUUAUUAUGGCAAUGUUAUUACUAUUAUUAGUAUCAUAAAUCAGUGCAAGAAGACAAAGUAUAAUUUAGAAUAGAUAAAAGAAAAAAAGCAUUUAAAACUCAAAGGAAUGAUAACAUUUAUUAAUUUCAUAUAAUUUAUCUAUAAUAUAUUAUAUAAUAGAA